CUCCAAAUCCUCAGCAAAUUCAAAUUCUUCUUCCUCCAUCAUUGUCAAAACAACACCAGAGAUCUCUCCGGCAUACCACUUCCUGGUGGGGAGGCUUCUGGGAGAGUCGAGCAGGGUCGUGAAGAGGCCAAGAUGUAGAGCGCUUAUGAGAAUGUUUGUUUCAAAGACCGGAGAGGAAGAUAUCUAAUAUGAACCUACAUGACAAGAUCAGCUUCUUCAGGCAUAAUUUUCAAUUGGAAAAGCAAGGAAAGAUUUACAAAGUGGAUGCAGCAGUUGGGGCUUGGAGUGUAGUCCUGCUGGGGUUUAACUACUCCUGGAAGAAAAGAAGGGAAUUGUCAAA